GCCCACUCCAGAGCACCCACGGAAAUCUUCUCCACGGCCUCCUCCUCAUUCCCGCACCAACGCGUUCCCCUUUACCUCGCCGCCGGCGCCACCGCGCCGUCGCGCCGCCAUGCUCCGCCUCCGCCUCCGAUGCCGCGCCCUGUCCCAGCUCCUCCCGCCCCCAUCCUCGUCUCCCAUCUCCCAGCUCCUCGGCUACCACAGCCGCCUCCUCUCCGCGGCCGCGCCCGUCGUCUCCCCGAACCCUAGCUUCGCCGUCGAGGAUUACCUCGUCUCCACCUGCGGCCUGACCCGAGCCCAGGCACUCAAGGCCUCCCCCAAGCUCGCCCACCUCAGGUCCCCCGCCAACCCCGACGCCGUGCUCGCCUUCCUCGCCGGCCGCGGCCUCUCCGGCGCCGACGUCGCCGCCCUCGUCGCCAAGGACCCCAAGUUCCUCUGCACCAAGGUCGACAAGGGCCUGUCCCCCAUCGUCGCGGGCCUCUCCGGCGUCGGCCUGUCAGAUCCCGAGAUGGCGCGGCUCCUCUCGCUCGCCCCAGACAGAUUCCGCUGUAGAUCCAUCGUCCCCAAUAUACACUACUGCCUGUGCAUCUUCGUGUCCUACGAGAAUCUCCUCUCUGCUGUCAAGCGCAAUUUCUACAUUCUCACGUCCAACCUUGAGAGAGUGAUCAAGCCCAAUGUCGCGGCCCUGCGAGAGUUUGGGCUUGGUCCUUGUGCUAUUGCCAAGCUGUGCCUCGCUCAGCCAUGGCUGCUCACCUGCAACGUAGAGUGUGUCCGGGCGACGGCGGUGUGCGUCCAAGGUCUGGGUAUACCCCGAGGAUCUGGGAUGUUUAGGCAUGCACUCAGUGCUGUUGCAUUCGUCAGCGAGGAGAAAAUCGCCGCCAAAGUGGAGCACCUGAAGAAAACAUUCAGGUGGUCGGAUGCUGAGGUGGGCAUUGCUAUUUCUAAGGCUCCAAAUGUGCUGAAUAAGACUAAGGAGUUUCUGCAGAGAAGGUCAGAGUUCCUCAUCUCUGAUUUGGGGUUGGAACCCGCAUACAUUGCUCAUCGCCCCGUAAUGCUCUCGUACAGCUUGGAGGGCCGGCUAAGGCCCCGGAGCUACGUUGUGAAGUUUCUUAAGGCAAAUGGAUUGCUAGAUCCCGACCGGGACUUGUAUUCCGUGCUUGUAGUGACUGAGAAGGUAUUCAUGGAGAGGUACAUAUGCCCUCACAAGGAAGCUGCACCAUGCCUCGCUCCAGACUAUGCUGAUGCUUGCAAAGGGCUAAUGCCGACUAAUUUCAGAUUUACAUGAAGCAAGGAUUGGUUAUGGAAAUCGCUAACUGUGUAUGGCAUGACAGUUUUCACCAUUCAUAGUAAGCUGGUAGCAGGAGCCUUGAUUUAAAAGCUUGGCUACCAGAGAAGACAUAUUGUGUGUGCUCAGUGCUAACCAGAGAAGACAUAGCAUGCAUGCACAUAGGCUGUACUUGUUGAGCAGCCGCCGAGCAGGGGAUGUUUACCUGGAGAUAUUGGCUUAGCCUAAUCCAUCCAAACUCAGUCUUCAAUUUACUGAAUUUAAAUUAGAUGUUGCUUUCUUUCUACCGGGAGAAGAUGUCGGAUGCAGACGCGAACCCGCCUGAAUGAGACAGAGGAUCGACCUCGCUUCGGGGCGCACACACUGCAAGCACAUGCUGCAGUCAGAUUCCAAUGUCCAAAGUUUUCGGCUUGCUUACACAGUUUCUUUUGCUUGGGCCCAGAAUAAGGGAAAAUCUUGUUUUUGCCA